rnacentral:rRNA from 1 species
GGAGAGUUUGAUCCUGGCUCAGAGUUAACGCUGGCGGCGUGCCUAACACAUGCAAGUCGAGCGAAGAGUACCAGAAUAUCGGGCUCUUAGCGGCAGACGGGUGAGUAACACGUAAACAAUCUGCCCUCGAAUGGGAGACAACCUAGAGAAAUUUAGGCUAAUACCCCAUACAAUCUCCUUAAGGCAUCUUAAGGGGAUGAAAGGCCCGCAAGGGUCGUUCGAGGAGGAGUUUGCGGCCUAUCAGCUAGUUGGCGGUGUAACAGACCACCAAGGCUAUGACGGGUAGCCGAUCUAAAAGGAUGACCGGCCACAAGGGCACUGAGACACGGGCCCUACUCCUACGGGAGGCAGCAGUGGGGAAUUUUGGACAAUGGACGAAAGUCUGAUCCAGCGACGCCGCGUGAAGGACGAAGGUUUUCGGAUCGUAAACUUCUUUUGCAGGGGACGAAUAUGCGCAAGCAUUUGACGGUACUCUGCGAAUAAGCCACGGCUAACUACGUGCCAGCAGCCGCGGUAAUACGUAGGUGGCGAGCGUUACUCGGAAUUACUAGGCGUAAAGCGCGUGUAGGCGGGAGGUUAAGUUCGCUGUUAAAUCUCAUAGCUCAACUAUGAAAUGCCGGCGAAUACUGGCCUUCUUGAAUUCGGUAGAGGUAACUGGAAUUCCAGGUGUAGCGGUGAAAUGCGUAGAUAUCUGGAAGAACGCCAAAGGCGAAGGCAGGUUACUGGGCCGCAAUUGACGCUGAGACGCGAAAGCGAGGGGAGCAAACAGGAUUAGAUACCCUGGUAGUCCUCGCCGUAAACGAUGUAGACCAGGUGUGGGAGGUAUCGACCCCUUCCGUGCCGACGCUAACGCAUUAAGUCUACCGCCUGGGGAGUACGGCCGCAAGGUUAAAACUCAAAGGAAUUGACGGGGGCCCGCACAAG